GACGAACGCUGGCGGCGUGCCUAAUACAUGCAAGUCGAACGCAGUGGGGACGGGUGAGUAACACGUGGGUAACCUCCCAUCAGAGGGGAUAACCCUUGGAAACAGGUGCUAAACCGAUACUGAUGGAUGGACCCGCGGUGCAUUAGCUAGUUGGUGAGGUAACGGCUCACCAAGGCCACGAUGCAUAGCCGACGUGAGGGGGUGAGGUGACACAGUGUGACUGAGACAUGGCCCAGACUCAUAGGGGAGGGAGGAGGAGGGAAUCUUGGGCGAUGGGCGAAAGUGUGACCGAGAAACGCCGUGUGAGAGAAAAAGGUUUGCGGCUCGUAAAACUCUGUUGUUAGAGAAAGGGUAUCAAACCAGAAAGCAACGGCUAACUCCGUGCCAGCGGCCGCGGUAUUC
rnacentral:rRNA from 1 species